AUGCUCGUUGAUGUAAGAUCAAGGAAGUCGAAAAACUAUGGGCGCAAAAGGAUUGUAGUUGACCUCAGUAUGGUUCCUGAUAUUCCUCGGAGCCAAAGGAGAACUAUACGCAGUCUCGCAAGAGCUUUGGGUGUGAAGAAAAGCACACUACGUAGGAUGUUUACGGACCACUUUCUUGAUAGGCAUUCAAUCUCACUCAAACCAUAUCUGAAGGAAGCAAACAAAAAGGCUAGGUUGCGGUUUUGUCUCUCUAUGUUUGACCAACAAAGUUUGCAAAAUAGGCCCACAUUCAAGGAUAUCCGUAACAUAAUACAUAUAGAUGAAAAGUGGUUUAACACCACUCAGAAGACCAUGAAAUUCUACAAGCUGCCAUCGGAAGAAGACUAA
rnacentral:rRNA from 1 species